GUACUGGCACCGUCGGUUACUCCCUUCUGACGAACCAUGAUGUCAUUUAUUUGGUGUCGUGGGGAAUCAGGACUGUUACUUUGAAAAAAUUAGAGUGUUUAAAGCAGGCUCACGCUUGAAUACAUUAGCAUGGAAUAAUGAAAUAGGACGUUUGAUUCUAUUUUGUUGGUUUCUAGGAUCGACGUAAUGAUUAAUAGGGAUAGUUGGGGGCAUUAGUAUUCAAUUGUCAGAGGUGAAAUUCUUGGAUUUAUUGAAGACUAACUACUGCGAAAGCAUUUGCCAAGGAUGUUUUCAUUAAUCAAGAACGAAAGUUAGGGGAUCGAAGACGAUCAGAUACCGUCGUAGUCUUAACCAUAAACUAUGCCGACUAGGGAUCGGAUGAUGUUAAUUUUUUAAUGACUCAUUCGGCGCCUUACG
rnacentral:rRNA from 1 species